rnacentral:rRNA from 1 species
AACGUCGCAAGACCAAAGAGGGGGACCUUCGGGCCUCUUGCCAUCGGAUGUGCCCAGAUGGGAUUAGCUAGUAGGUGGGGUAACGGCUCACCUAGGCGACGAUCCCUAGCUGGUCUGAGAGGAUGACCAGCCACACUGGAACUGAGACACGGUCCAGACUCCUACGGGAGGCAGCAGUGGGGAAUAUUGCACAAUGGGCGCAAGCCUGAUGCAGCCAUGCCGCGUGUAUGAAGAAGGCCUUCGGGUUGUAAAGUACUUUCAGCGGGGAGGAAGGGAGUAAAGUUAAUACCUUUGCUCAUUGACGUUACCCGCAGAAGAAGCACCGGCUAGCUCCGUGCCAGCAGCCGCGGUAAUACGGAGGGUGCAAGCGUUAAUCGGAAUUACUGGGCGUAAAGCGCACGCAGGCGGUUUGUUAAGUCAGAUGUGAAAUCCCCGGGCUCAACCUGGGAACUGCAUCUGAUACUGGCAAGCUUGAGUCUCGUAGAGGGGGGUAGAAUUCCAGGUGUACCGGUGAAAUGCGUAGAGAUCUGGAGGAAUACCGGUGGCGAAGGCGGCCCCCUGGACGAAAACUGACGCUCAGGGUGCGAAAGCGUGGGGAGCAAACAG